rfam:Salmo salar isolate Sally breed double haploid chromosome ssa09, whole genome shotgun sequence.
UAUAUACCAAUUUGUAAGUCGCUCUGGAUAAGAGCUUCUGCUAAAUUAUGUAAA